GUCCUUGAAAAGCAAAAUUUGAAACGAACUGUUAAAAAUGAAAUUAUCUUUGUCAUUCGAGAAGCAAUGAAAGGCUUAGAAAACGUGAUUUGUGAGGCACCAGUAAUCGCGUUAAUGCAGUGCUGAGAUGAUGAAAUCGAGGAAUGCGGUGACCCUAGUGUAGACACCAGGAAAUCCAGUACCUGGCAAGCAUCCUUUCCACCGCGAGCAUAUCCGGCGCAUAGUACCC
rnacentral:lncRNA from 1 species